ACGAUUAUAGUUUAACGGUAAAACUCCCGUCUUCCAAACGGAUUUUGUGAGUUCGAAUCUCACUAAUCGUA
rfam:Chaetomium globosum CBS 148.51 scaffold_27 mitochondrial scaffold, whole genome shotgun sequence.